GGCCGGCGCACUGCGUUGAUCCAAAGCCAGGAGCCAGGUGCUUCCUCCCGGUCUCCCAUGCAGGUGCAGGGCCCAAGGACUUGGGCCAUCCUCCACUGCCUUCCCGGACCACAGCAGAGAGUUGGACUGGAAGAGGAGCAACCGGGACAGAACCGGCACCCCAACCGGGACUAGAACCCUGUGUGCCGGCGCUGCAGGCAGAGGAUUAGCCAAGUGAGCUGAGACACUUUUUAAAAAAGAUUUUUUUAUUUAUUUGAGAGGCAGAGUUACAGAGAGAGGCAUAUACAGAGAGAGGUCCAUCUGCUGCUUCACUCCCCAGAUGGCCACAAAGUCCUGAGCUGGGCCAAUGCAAAGCUAGGAGGCAGGAGCUUCUUUUGGGUCUCCCAUGUGGCUGCAGGGGCCCAAGCACUUAAACCAUCUUCAGCUGCUUUCCCAGGAGCAUUAGCAGGGAGCUGGAUCAGAAGUGAAGCAGCUGGGACUCAAACAGGCACCCAGAUGGAAUUCUGGUGCCACAGGCAGAUGCUUAACCUACUAUGCCACAGCAUGGGCCCCGACAGUUGUAUUUUUUUUUUUUAAAGAAUCUUUUUACUUCUCUCUGGUCUUCAGUAGCUUUAGGCUGUGAAUCAUUUCUAUCAGUUUGUCUUCUAGUUUAUUUAUUUUUUUUUUGUUUUGCAUUGUUCAAUUGGCUCUCAAGUCCCUUCAAGCUUUUAUAAUAAAAUACUAUUAACUGGGUAUCAUAAACAAGAAAAAUUUAUUAUUCACAGCUCUGGGGCUGGAAGUUCAAGGACAAGGUACUGGCAAAUUUAGUAUCUGGUGAGGGCCUAUUCUCUGGUUCCUGAGUGGCUAUCUUUUCACUAUGUCCACACACGGGGGAGAGGGAAGAAAGGCAGCUGGAGUGCCUUUUAUUUAUUUAUUUAAGAUUUAUUUUAUUUAUUUUAAAGAGUUACAGAGAGAGGUCAAGCCAGAGAGAGAGGUCUCCCAUUCUGUUGAUUCACUCCCCAAAUGAUCGCAAUGGCCAGAGCUGAGCUGAUCCAAAGCUAGGAGUCUGGAGUUUCUUCCAGGCCUCCCAUGUGGGUACAGGGGCCCAAGGACUUGGACCAUCAUCUACUGCUCUCCCAGGCCAUAGCAGAGAGCUGGAUCAGAAGUAGAGCAUCCGGGACUCAAACCAGUGCCCAUAUGGGAUGCCAGCACUGCAGAAGGCGGCUUUACCCGCUACACCACAGCACCAGCCCCAGUAUAUAAUCUUUGUUUUUAAGGUGUGGUCCUUCUUAGGUUUUAAUGGAUAACUCAAGGUUGAACAAACACUUCCUGCUUGGUGGGAUUUGAAAGUCAGACUCUGUCUCCUGGAGCUGGACUGUCCACUGUUGGAAUCUGCUUGGUUUCUGGGAGCAUUGCCAUGCGGGUGUGGAAGUUAGGAGUCACCCUAAAACUGAGGGCAACCACCCACAUCUAUGCAGAGUCCACCUUUUGUGGCUCCCUCAUUCUGAAGAUUCUCCCCUCCCCUCAAUUUUCAGCUGUUCUGGGAACUCCGAACUCCCACCUCUGACUCUACCCCACUAAGAUCACCACUUUCUCCCUGAGUUCUGCUCCCUGUGCUCUUCCAACUUAGAAGGAACCUUGAGAAAACCAGGUAACAGAAUCUUUCAGGCUCUACCAAAGAAGCCACGUAUUCCCUUUCCCUCCAAGCCAAGUUAAGAUUUGGCCGCCACCUCUCAGAACUGGGAAUUGAUUUAAUGAUCUCUGAUGUUCCUUCCAACCCUCAGAAGAUACCAGUUUUCUGAAUUAGGAGCCUGGAGGAGACUUCAUGAGGAGGCGCGGAGACACAGCCUUGAAGGAGCCUGGAUCGCUAAGUCGCAGCAGGAGGAGAGGCUUCUUGGAGAGUUACCCAGGCCCGCAGGCUACUGCCAUCAAAAAAUAAACAGUGGUGCUCCUCUUCCAGUUCAGCUCUCUGCGAUGGCCUGGGAAAGCAGUAGAAGAUGGCCCAAGUCCUUGGGCCCUUGCACUCAUGUGGGAGACCCGGAAGAAGCCCCUGGCUCAUGGCUUUGGAUCGGCGCAGCUCUGAUUGUUGCGGCCAUUGGGGAAAUGUACCAACAGAUGGAAGACCUUUCUCUCUGUCCUUGUCUGUAACUCUGCCUCUCAAAUAAAUACAUAAAAUCUUU